GACGAACGCUGGCGGCGUGCUUAACACAUGCAAGUCGAACGGAAAGGCCCUGCUUGCAGGGUGCUCGAGUGGCGAACGGGUGAGUAACACGUGGGUGAUCUGCCCCUUACUUUGGGAUAAGCCUGGGAAACUGGGUCUAAUACUGGAUAGGACCAUGCUGUAGGUGGUGUGGUGGAAAGAUUAGUUUCGGUAAGGGAUGAGCUCGCGGCCUAUCAGCUUGUUGGUGGGGUAAUGGCCUACCAAGGCGUCGACGGGUAGCCGGCCUGAGAGGGUGGACGGCAACAUUGGGACUGAGAUACGGGCCAGACUCCUACGGGAGGCAGCAGAGGGGAAUAGUGCAAAAUGGGCGCAAGGCUGAUGCAGCGACGGCGCGGGGGGGAUGACGGCCUUCGGGUUGUAAACUCCUUUCAGCCAUGACGAAGCCCUUGUGGUGACGGUAGUGGUAGAAGAAGCACCGGCUAACUACGUG
rnacentral:rRNA from 1 species